ACCACUCGCACUGCUGAACAGGAACCCUGGAAUUUGGCUUCUAGAGACUUCUGGAACUAAACUCUUGCGUUGUGGAGUUUGUGUACACCCUAGCGGUCACA